rnacentral:lncRNA from 1 species
GUGGCCUUUUCAGCGAAAACUAGUUGAGACUUAAAAGUGUUAGUAUUUUGAUUUAUAACAAGUGAUUUAAAACUUCUUUAUAUGCUCAUAUGUUUUAAAACUUCAAUUUGGCCUUUGGACUUUGUGGGCAGCCCACUGUCAAUGGGCCUUGCCUGGGAGCCCAAGCUUUGGUCUCUUUUCAUGUGGUGUUUAGUCCCAUAUUGGAAAGAGACCCUCACUUGCUCUGGUUUAUAUUCUACUUUAUUCUCAUUGUUAUUACUUGGGAAGUGAUGAGAGUGGAGCUCUCGUCUAAAUACACACACACGAGCACGAGCCGAGCCGGGCCGGGCGGCGGCGCGCGUGAACCCGGUUCAUUUUAUUUUUGUUACACUUUUCUUUUAUUAUUUUAUUUUUGGCCUUACCUGGAUUAGG